GGGAUAACUGCCAGAGCAGAAGACAGUUGGCAGUUAUUUCGCAACCUUCAUCUGUUCCUGGAAGAUACCCGUAGCCUGCCUUCCUUCUUGACAGGCUGAUUUAGGGGUGCUCCCCAAGAAGAUCAGGACUGCUGAAAGAAUGAAGAAGAACUUACUUGGCCUAGGAUGUGGCUAGAGAACGGAGCGCACUUUCACUUACCUGGCAAGAAUUCCAUUCUCCCAUCCCAGGAAGGAGAGUGCCCUGCGUGCCACGAAAGAGCCCAGGACCCACAGGACAAAUACGUCACUGGCAGACCUGCCUUCGCCAGCGCCAGCCCAUCUCUGAAACCUCCAGCAUUUGUGCCCCGGUCCGGCCCCUCCCAGGCCUGACUCUUUCCGUGAACGGUCACUGCGCAGGAUCAAGCUACAAUGAAGAGGAGGGAGGCAGUCUGCGCGCACCGCCAUUUUCUAGGAACUGGGAAGCCCCCCCACCCCUUAGGAAGAUCCAUCCCUGUGGAACCUUGCCCAGGCUUACCAGCCUUUGCUGAGGUUGAUCUAUUGUCCCUCCUUGUCCCCAUCAAAAUAUCCAGCACUCCACCUUCAGGGAGUAGACUUGACCCUCAAAUAGCAAGUUCAGCCUUCCCAGGUCUAGGUUCCCUGGGAGGUCAAGAUUCGUCUGGUUCCUUAGUACAGAGGGCUAGCUGUGAGUUGGAAUCCCCCUAUGAGCUUUAGAAUCAGUCAAGAGGAAUUGGGCCCCUUCCCUUCAUCCCUCUUCUUUUCCCUUUUUGUCCCAGAGCUCAGCUCUGACUCAAAAGUUUUUCCAUUUACCAUCAACAUGGAAACUUGGCUCCUCACGUAGGUAUAUUAUCCCCCUUUUGUACAUGGUCUUGUUGAUCCAAACUCCCUUUCUGUGAAAGAGGCCUGUGGGGCUCAAGAAGCCUGGUCAGCCAGCCAGGCUAGUCCCACAUACCUCAGAACCAGUUUAAUAAAGGCUCUAUGUCAUUCUUUUUUGCUUGGG
ensembl:lncRNA TDRG1 testis development related 1